rnacentral:rRNA from 1 species
GACGAACGCUGGCGGCGUGCUUAACACAUGCAAGUCGAACGGCAACGCCCUGCUUCUUUCGCGUUCUCGAGUGGCUAACGGGCGAGUAACACGUGAGUAACCUGCCCUUGACUUUGGGAUAACUUCAGGAAACUGGGGCUGAUACCGGAUCAGAGCUCCUUCUGCAUGGAGGGGGUGGGAUAGUUUCGGCGGUUGGGGAUGGAAUCGCGGGUUAUCAGCUUGGUGGUGGGGUAGUGGCUUACACAGGCUUGGACGGGUAGCCGGCCUGAGAGGGUGACCGGCCACAUUGGGACUGAGAUACGGCCCGGACGCCUACGGGGGGCAGCAGUGGGGAAUAUUGCACAAUGGGCGGAAGCCUGAUGCAGCAACGCCGCGUGCGGGAUGACGGCCUUCGGGUUGUAAACCGCUUUCGCCUGUGACGAAGCGUGAGGGACGGGAAUGGGUAAAGAAGCACCGGCGAACUACGU